UACAGAGGGGGCAAGCGUUAUUCGGAAUUAUUGGGCGUAAAGGGCGCGUAGGCGGCUUGGCAAGUGGAUGGUGAAAUCCCUCGGCUUAACCGAGGAACUGCCGUCCAAACUGCUUCGCUUGAGACCGGGAGAGGUGAGUGGAAUUCCCAGUGUAGCGGUGAAAUGCGUAGAUAUUGGGAGGAACACCGAUGGCGAAGGCAGGUCUCUGGGCCACUACUGACGCUGAGAAGCGAAAGCAUGGGGAGCGAACAGG
rnacentral:rRNA from 1 species